CUGAGCAGCCGCCCUGCUGCCCUGGCCCAGCACGAGCCCCCAGGGUGGUCUCCUGCCUGGACUUCAUAGUGCGGGUUUGUGUUGGUGCUGAUCCAGCCACUCGAUUCCCCGCCAGGCCCUCUGGCCGCAGUGGAGUGGACACGUCCUGAGACCCAUGGAGGUCUGGGUGUGGCAGGGUCCCGGAGCUUCCUCUCAAACCGUGCUGACGACGCACCUGCUCCUGCAGGUGUUGGCCUCGUGGACGGUCUGCAGGACUCCUUGCCAGGGGCCCUCCCAGCCAGAUGCCUCACCUCUCAGGCAGGAUACGGCCGGCUCAGCAGCAGUGGGCAGUGGCCGCCGCCUGGUUGACCACAGGAUGCAGGCUUCUGUCCACCUACGCCAGUCGCAGCAGACCCAGAGCCGCAGGGAGGCAGACGGAGACAGUGGUCACCACCUGCAGCAGGACAUCGCUGCCCUCGCUGUGGCCACUGUGGUUGCUCCCCAGACGGCAGCCACAGACACCGAGGUCGGCAGCCUGGGACGGGGUGGGAGCCUCAGUGGGCUCAGGGCCAGGGUGCCCUGCUGGGCGGACUCCACCUGGCCCACAGGGGGAGGCUGCGCAAUCCUCUCCCCUCCCUCCCGUCUUCCUCUCCCUCCCCCCCUUUCUCCCCCUCUCCCAU
rnacentral:lncRNA from 1 species